GAUGGCGACGGCGGAUGGGUGAGUAACGCGUAUCCAACCUGCCCCCUUCCCGGGCACAGCCCUUGGGAAACGAGGAUUAACUCCCGAUGGUGUCAGUCAGGCGCAUGCCUUUCUGACCAAAUGUUAAGGAAGGGGAUGGGGAUGCGUCCCAUUAGGUAGUAGGCGGGGUAACGGCCCACCUAGCCGACGAUCUUAGGGGUUCUGAGAGGAAGGUCCCCCACACUGGUACUGAGACACGGACCAGACUCCUACGGGAGGGCAGCAGUGAGGAAUAUUGGUCAAUGGUCUGACGACUGAACCAGCCAUGCCGCGUGAAGGUCACGGCCCUAUGGGUCUUAAACUUCUUUUGUAAGGGAGCAAUAAGUCUCACGUGUGGGAUGAUGAGAGUACCUUACGAAUAAGCAUCGGCUAACUCCGUG
rnacentral:rRNA from 1 species